rnacentral:rRNA from 1 species
GGCGGCACGGGUGGAGUAACGCGUAUCCAACCUUCCCCUUAGUAGGGCAUAGCCCGUAGAAAUGCGGAUUAAUACCCUAUGUUGUAUAUUUAGAGGACGUCUGAUUUAUACCAAAGGUUCACCGCUAAGGGAUGGGGAUGCGUCUGAUUAGGUAGUCGGCGGGGUAACGGCCCACCGAGCCUACGAUCAGUAGGGGUUCUGAGAGGAAGGUCCCCCACAUUGGAACUGAGACACGGUCCAAACUCCUACGGGAGGCAGCAGUGAGGAAUAUUGGUCAAGUGGACGAGAGUCUGAACCAGCCAAAAGUAGCGUGCAGGAUGACGGCCCUAUGGGUUGUAAACUGUUUUUAUACGGGGAUAAAGUGAGGGACGUGUCCCUUUUUGUAGGUACCGUAUGAAUAAGGACCGGCUAAUUCCGUGCCAGCCGCAGC